rnacentral:rRNA from 1 species
CCUUGACAUACUAAGAACUUUCCAGAGAUGGAUUGGUGCCUUCGGGAACUUAGAUACAGGUGCUGCAUGGCUGUCGUCAGCUCGUGUCGUGAGAUGUUGGGUUAAGUCCCGNAACGAGCGCAACCCUUUUCCUUAUUUGCCAGCGGGUCAUGCCGGGAACUUUAAGGAUACUGCCAGUGACAAACUGGAGGAAGGCGGGGACGACGUCAAGUCAUCAUGGCCCUUACGGCCAGGGCUACGCACGUGCUACAAUGGUCGGUACAAAGGGUUGCUACCUCGCGAGAGGAUGCUAAUCUCAAAAAGCCGAUCGUAGUCCGGAUCGCAGUCUGCAACUCGACUGCGUGAAGUCGGAAUCGCUAGUAAUCGCGGAUCAGAAUGCCGCGGUGAAUACGUUCCCGGGCCUUGUACACACCGCCCGUCACACCAUGGGAGUUUGUUGCACCAGAAGUAGGUAGUCUAACCGCAAGGAGGACGCUUACCACGGUGUGGCCGAUGACUGGGGUGAAGUCGUAACAAGGUAAGCGUAGAUGA